rnacentral:rRNA from 1 species
GAUGAACGCUGGCGGCGUGCCUGAUACAUGCAAGUCGAGCGAACGGACGAGAAGCUUGCUUCUCUGAUGUUAGCGGCGGACGGGUGAGUAACACGUGGAUAACCUACCUAUAAGACUGGGAUAACUUCGGGAAACCGUAGCUAAUACCGGAUAAUAUUUUGAACCGCAUGGUUCAAAAGUGAAAGACGGUCUUGCUGUCACUUAUAGAUGGAUCCGCGCUGCAUUAGCUAGUUGGUAAGGUAACGGCUUACCAAGGCAACGAUGCAUAGCCGACCUGAGAGGGUGAUCGGCCACACGGGAACUGAGACACGGUCCAGACUCCUACGGGAGGCAGCAGUAGGGAAUCUUCCGCAAUGGGCGAAAGCCUGACGGAGCAACGCCGCGUGAGUGAUGAAGGUCUUCGGAUCGUAAAACUCUGUUAUUAGGGAAGAACAUAUGUGUAAGUAACUGUGCACAUCUUGACGGUACCUAAUCAGAAAGCCACGGCUAACUACGUG